GCCAAUAAUGACACAUGAUUUCCUUGUCUUGAUACAAUUAAGUCUAUUGUUAUGACAAUUCAAUUCUUAAUUUCAAAAGAAAGUCAAACUCUCGAUAUAUAUUUACACCUUUUGUUCCUCUCGAUAUCAGUUGCAAAACACGGUCAUCCCCAUCUUAGGAAAGUUGAUAAAUCUUCUUCCAUCUAAAAAUAUUCUCUAAGUCCUUAAAGAAAUCAACUCUCGGUACCAACAUCAAUUUGUAGUAUAACCUCUAGUCUCAAAGAAGCAAUAAGCACUCGAUCGUUCGGUUGACCGUAGGAUAUCGAGAGUCAGUAUCAUUGGAAGAAAACGCUUGAGGCUUGACGAUGUGCAUCUCUCUCUUUUGCAUCCUUCAUCAUCUAUUCAUUCAUUCAAGAGUUUCUAUAAUUUUGAUUUAAAAAUUAAUAACAAGUGUCGGAAUUUGAGAUUAGAUUAGAUUAGUAUUGAAGGGAAAGUACUUUACUGUUACUGUCGACGAAGUUCGAACGCGAUUUUGUCGGAAUUUGAGAUUGAGAUUGAUAACUGCCGUGAAAGAAGAUUCUGGAAGUUUGGCCAAGACCACAAAUGCUUACCAGGUCAAUCAAUCACGCCUUCAAUUACUUGGUUUCUUUAAUUUUAUAUUUUUUUUUAUUUGGAUUUAUUCAAUUCAAAUACAAUUCCUCUGGCCCAUUGUUAUCCUGCGAUUAAGUUCUUUUGUAAGACAUGACCAAAUCCUUGAAUUUUUAUUUAACAUCUAUGGGAAAAGGAUCCUUGAAUCAAAUAUAGUGUUAAAAAUUGGUUCGAGUUUGAUUCUUUUUCUUUUCUACCAUUUCAUAGUAUUUCAACUUCAACACUAUAUUUGAUACACAAAAUUGAUUGAUUACAACAAUGGCUCAAGCAUGCCUUUUAUAGGCUUGGAAAAUAAUCAGACUUCUAAUUCUUACUUGUUAACCAAAAUUAAUAGCUAAGCUUGUAUUGGAGGUUAAAAUAAUGUCAUGGAGAAUUCUUAGAGCCCGGUCCAAAGGCUUUGUUUGCGACUUAAAUUUGUGGCGUACAAAACCACGAGAAUGUAUUGGAGUAGCCUGAUAGUGGCCUAAAUAUCAUGUUAGUGCAUGCUGUGCUUUAUUCCAUAUUUUGAGAAUUUGUUAUCUGUCUGCUGGUAUUGCUUCUAUUCAUAAUGCAGGUGUUGAGACUGUUCUAGA